rnacentral:lncRNA from 10 species
CCCCAUCUCUACUAAAAAAUACAAAAAUUAGCUGGGCUUGGUGGCACGCACCUGUAAUCCCAGCUACUUAGGAAGCUGAGGCAGGAGAAUGAUUUGAACCCGGGAGGCAAAAGUUGCAGUGAGCCGAGAUCGCACCAUUGCACUCCAGCCUGGACGACAGAGCAAAACUCCGUAUCAAAAAAAAAAAGAAAUAAAUGAAGAAAAAGAAAGAAAGAGAGAGGGAGGGAGGGAAGGAAGGAAAGGAAGGAAAGGAAAGAAAGGAAAAAAAGGAAGAAAGUCAUGGAUGCCUCCGCAGCUCCCCACGUCAUUUACCAAGGCCACUUGCCCAUACCACAGACAGAGAGUCCUUGGUUUCUGGUCCUGCCAGUCAGAAUUGGGCGGAACUGCCAAGUUGGCCCAACCCUACUCCAAUCCCUGACAAAGGGAGCGGCCUUCAGGAGGCUCGGCUCUCUGUGCACUUUGCUCAAGAUACCUGAAGAAUGAUUACUUUGAGGAAGAAAGGAAGACUUUUAGGAAAGAAGCGACUUUGUUUUCGCGGUCAAGGAGCGAAGGCCCCAAGAGACCAAGGUAGACGCUGAAGGAAUCCGGGAAGAUGACAGAAGCGGUGAAGAGACGCGAGGGAGUUCACUUUCCUGUGCGGGGCGGCGGAGGAAGACAACACAUAACUGAACGACAGAUGAAGAUAAAUUAUAAAAGAACAUUGUUUAAGUGUUUAAUCAGACAAUGAAGAGAAACCCAAAACAAUGAAACCUUUUCAAGGAAGUAAGGUGUUGACAUGACUGGAUUAAGAAAUACCUACAAAACUGGCAAAACAGUACUUCUGGAUGUGUCUGUGAGGGUGUUUCAAGGAGACUGAUGUGUGAGUUGCUGCACUGAGUCGGGAAGAUGUUCCUCAAUGUGGGCAGCCACCAUUCAAUUGGCUGGGUGUCCAGAGAGAACAAAAAAGGAAGGAAAAGGAUUUUCCCUCUCUCUCCUGGAACUGGGACACUCUCCUCUUCCUGCCCCCCGGUUCUCACGACUUCAGCCUCAGACAGAGACUUACAUAAUUGGUUUCCCUGGUUCUAAGGUCUCUGGACUUGGACUGGGCCAUGCUACCAGCAUCUCAGAGUUGCCAGCUUGUAGACAGCCUGUUGUGCGACUUCUCAACCUCUGUAAUCAAGUGAGCUAAUUCCCCUAACAAACCCCCUCUCAUAUGUCUAUAUCUAUCGAUAGCUCCUAUUGAUCUGCCUCUCUGUAGAACCCUGACCAAUGCACACAUGCUUAUUACAAGGUAUUGACCCUUGGCCAAUGCUGUGCAAUGGAUUAACUAAAGAUAAAGAUGUUCUAUAACUAUGAGUCUGUGAGUUGCUUCAGGGCAGGACUACCAGCCUGUCAGCAUUGUUCAAUAAUAAUUGAACUCAUUAUUUGUACCUGGUUUUAGAGGGGUCUGGAAAAUUUUGAAAGCUAAAGCUGGUCACAAAGUCGGAACAUACCUAUGUGAUCAGCUCACUCUAAGACUCCCACCAUGAGCCGACUUCAGGCUUCUUGGGACCGAGGUGCUUCCACACACAGUGUUCAAGGGCAAGAUCUGAAAUCAAAGUGCAUCCUAUGUGUCCCAGUGUUAAAAAUAUCUAGAUCUCAAAGUCCCUUUAGUGCAUAGCCUUCUGCUUUUGCUACUGUGCCUAUAAAAAAGCACAAGUAUAAACCGAGUCCUGCACGUCCUUUCAGCAGCUGAACUCUUAGGGUGAUUAAUGUGUAAUUCACACAAAUUCCUUAAAGAAGGCAUAGGAGAACAUCUUAACAACCUUUGGUUUGGCAAAGAUUACUUAGAUAAGACACAAACAGCAUAAUCCAUGAAGGCAACAAAUCAAUAAAUUGAACUUUCUCAAAAUUAAAACUUUGGCUCUACAAAAGACUGUUAGAAAGAAAAAGGGAGCUAUAUACUGUGAAAAAUAUUUGCGAAAUAUAUAUCCAACAAAAAACAUGAAUCUGGAAUACAUAAAGAACUCCCAUAACUCAAUAAUAAGAAGACAAACAACCCAAUUUUUAAAAAUCCAAUUCAUAUGUGAGCAAAAGACAUAAAUAUAUAUUUCACCAAAAAGGGUAUACAUUCGCAAAUAAGCUUAUUAAAUGAUGCUCAACAUGAUUAGCUAUUAGAGAAACUCAAAUAAACCCACAAUCACUAUACACCUAUCACAGUGACUAAAAUAAAGAACAGUGGCCUCUCCCUCUCCCUCUCCCUCUGGUCUCCCUCUGUUGCUGAGGCUGGACUAUACUGCCGUGGUCUCAGCUAGCUGCAGCCUCCCUGCCCCGGGCUCCCGUGGUUCUCCUGCCUCGGCCUGCCGAGUGCCUGGGAUUGUGGGCGAGCGCCGCCGCGCCUGACUGGUUUUUGUAUUUUUGGAGGAGACAGGGUUUCCCCUGUUGACCGGGCUGGUCUCCGGCUCCUGACCUCAAGUAGUCUGCCUGCCUCGGCCUCCCAGGGUGCUGGGAUUGCAGACGGAGUCUCGCUCACUCAAUGCUCAGUGUUGCCCAGGCUGGAGUGCAGUGGUGUGAUCUCGGUUCGCUGCAACCUCCACCUUCCAGCUGCCUGCCUUGGCCUCCCAAAGUGCUACGAUUACUGCCUCUGCCUGGCCGCCACCCCAUCUGGGAAGUGGGGAGCGUCUCUGCCUGGCUGCCCAUCGUCUGGGAUGUGGGGAGCCCCUCUGCCCGGCCGCCCCGUUUGGGAAGUGAGGAGUGCCUCUGCCUGGCCGCCACCCCGUCUGGGAAGUGAGGAGCGUCUCUGCCUGGCCGCCCAUCGUUUGGGAUGUGAGGAGCGCCUCUGCCCGCCGGCCUCCUCUGGGAUGUGAGGAGCGCCUAUGCCCGGCCACCCCGUCUGUGAAGUGAGGAGCACCUCUGCCCGGCUGCCCCGUCUGGGAAGUGAGGAGCGCCUCUGCCCGGCUGCCACCCCGUCUGUGAGGUGAGGAGUGUCUCUGCCAGGCCACCACCCUGUCUGGGAUGUGAGGAGCCCCUCUGCCCGGCUGCCCCGUCUGGGAAGCGAGGAGUGCCUCUACCUGACCGCCCUGUCUGGGAAGUGAGGAGCACCUAUGCCCGGCCGCCCCAUCUGGGAAGCGAGGAGCACCUCUGCCUGACCGCCCAUCAUCUGGGAAGUGAGGAUCGCCUCUGCCCGGCCGCCCCGUCUGGGAGGUGAGGGGCAUCUCUGCCCGGCCACCCCAUCUGGAAGGUGAGGAGCGCCUCUGCCUGGCCGCCCCGCCUGGGAAGUGAGGAGCGCCUCUGCCCGGCCGCCCUUCGUCUGGGAGGUGGGGAGCACCUCUGCCCGGCUGCCCCAUCUGGGAAGUGGGUGCCUCUGCCUGGCCGCCCCAUCUGGGAGGUGAGGGGCGUCUAUGCCCGGCCACCCCAUCUGGGAGGUGAGGAGCACCUCUGCCCGGCCGCCCCGUCUGGGAGGUGGGGAGCGCCUCUGCCCAGCCGCCCAUCGUCUGGGAGGUGGGGAGCACCUCUGCCAGGCCACCCCAUCUGGGAAGUGUACCCAACAGCUCGGAAGAGACAGCAACCAUCGAGAACGGGCCAUGAUGAUGAUGGUGGUUUUGUCGUAAAGAAAAGGGGGAAAUGUGGGGAAAAGAAAGAGAGAUCAGAUUGUUACUGUGUCUGUGUAGAAAGAAGUAGACAUAGGAGACUCCAUUUUGUUCUGUACUAAGAAAAAUUCUUCUGCCUUGGGAUGCUGUUAAUUUAUAACCUUACCCCCAACCCCGUGCUCUCUGAAACAUGUGCUAUGUCAACUCAGGGUUAAAUGGAUUAAGGGUGGUGCAAGAUGUGCUUUGUUAAACAGAUGCUUGAAGGCAGCAUGCUCGUUAAGAGUCAUCACCACUCCCUAAUCUCAAGUACCCAGGGACACAAACACGGCCGAAGGCCGCAGGGACCUCUGCCUAGGAAAACCAGAGACCUUUGUUCUCGUGUUUAUCUGCUGACCUUCUCUCCACUAUUAUCCUAUGACCCUGCCACAUCCCCCUCUCUGAGAAACACCCAAGAAUGAUCAAUAAAUACUAAAAAAAAAAAAAAAAAAAAAAAAAGAGAACAGUGGCUUGGUGUAGUGUCCCACACCUGCAGUUUCAGCACUUUGGAAGGCUGAGGGGGAAAGACUGCCUGAGCCCAGGAGUUCAAGACUAGCCUGGGCAACAUAGUGAGACCCAAUCUCUACAAAAAAUAAUUAGCUGGGCAUGAUGGCUCACACCUGUAGUCCCAGCUAUUUGGGAGACUGAGGUGGGAGGAUCGCUUGAGCCCAGGAGAUCGAGGCUGCAUUGAGCCGAGAUUAUGCCACUGCACUCCAGCCUGGGUGACACAGCAAAACCCUGCCUCAAAAAAAAAAAAAAAGAAAGAAAAAAAAAUAGUGAUAACACCAAAUGAUAGUGAGGAUGCAGAAAAACUAGACCACACAUUACUGUUAGGAAUGUGGCCAGGCACGGUGGCUCAUGCCUGUAAUCCCAGCAUUUUGGGAGACAGAGGCAGGUGGAUUACUUGAGGUCAGGAGUUUGAGACCAGCCUGGCCAACAUGAUGAAACCCUAUCUCUACUAAAAAUAUUUAAAAAUUAGCCAGGAGUGGUGGCGGGCACCUGUAAUCCCAGCUACUCAGGAGUCUGAGGCAGGAGA